GACGAACGCUGGCGGCGUGCCUAAUACAUGCCAGUAGAACGCUGAAGGAGGAGCUUGCUUCUCUGGAUGAGUUGCGAACGGGUGAGUAACGCGUAGGUAACCUGCCUGGUAGCGGGGGAUAACUAUUGGAAACGAUAGCUAAUACCGCAUAAUAUUGACUAUUGCAUGAUAGUCAGUUGAAAGGUGCAACUGCACCACUACCAGAUGGACCUGCGUUGUAUUAGCUAGUUGGUGGGGUAACGGCUCACCAAGGCGACGAUACAUAGCCGACCUGAGAGGGUGAUCGGCCACACUGGGACUGAGACACGGCCCAGACUCCUACGGGAGGCAGCAGUAGGGAAUCUUCGGCAAUGGACGGAAGUCUGACCGAGCAACGCCGCGUGAGUGAAGAAGGUUUUCGGAUCGUAAAGCUCUGUUGUAAGAGAAGAACGAGUGUGAGAGUGGAAAGCUCACACUGUGACGGUAUCUUAACAGAAAGGGACGGCUAACUACGUG
rnacentral:rRNA from 1 species